UACGAAGGGGGCUAGCGUUGCUCGGAAUCACUGGGCGUAAAGCGCACGUAGGCGGCUUCUUAAGUCAGGGGUGAAAUCCUGGAGCUCAACUCCAGAACUGCCUUUGAUACUGGGGAGCUCGAGUCCGGGAGAGGUGAGUGGAACUGCGAGUGUAGAGGUGAAAUUCGUAGAUAUUCGCAAGAACACCAGUGGCGAAGACGGCUCACUGGCCCGGUACUGACGCUGAGGUGCGAAAGCGUGGGGAGCAAACAGG
rnacentral:rRNA from 1 species